GCCCCCCGCGGAUGGACCGACGGGGGUGGCGCGCAAACCCCGCGGCCCGGGGGACACCGCCUCCGGGCGGGCCGGGAGCGGGGCAAGGGGGAGCGUACCCCUACUUCCCUGGAUCACAUGGGCUGCGGGGGGCGGGCGGAUCGGGGUUGGGAGCGGCGCGGAGAGCUGGCCGCGGCUCGUAGCCCAGUCGGGGGAGAAUACGUCCCCUACUCCCUCUAAAACGGCCUCUCAACUCAAGUUCGCCGGUCCCUGCGGCCGGGAUCCGGGGAUGGCACCAGCCGCCCGCCCGGCUGUGCGCCCUGUUUCCAGCCACCGCACAGAAAUUUAGGUCAAGGACGUCGGGAACAAACCCAAACCCUGGUACUCCUCGGGCGAACCCUAAGACCCCCCCAGGAUCAGGGGGCCUUCAGGAUUGCGGAGACCCUCCCGCACAAACACCAGCCACAAGUUUUAUUUUCCUUUCGCGCUGGAAGUUCUCUCUGGCUCUCCCUCCACACCGGCACGUCCUCCGUGAUUCCCCGCCCUUCCCAGGCAGAGAAUCCGUGAUGGGCGACCAAGUCUGGAAACCGCUCAGCCAGCCUAACCCAUCUUGUUCUAUAACGAAGGAAACAGUCCCCAACAGAAGGGCCUUUUCUCAAGGUCAUGCAGCUGAUUAAAAGGAAAGCUGACUCCCGUAUUCUAGUCUAGUGUACGUGUCAUCAUUUUAAAACAUAAAGCCUCCUACCGCUUUUAGAAGACCUUGGUAAUUUUAGGGAAGCAGAUUUUGGAUUUUGUGUGCAGUUGUUUCAGGAGUGUGGGUUUUCUGUUUUGCUUUGUGCGUGGAUAGCACAGCACGGAGGAAAUUAAGGCUUUCUGCCUGAUGUCUCACUAGUUAGCAGGUAGUCUCACCUGCCCCACCUGUAAAUAGAGUAUCAUGGUGGUUUUUAAAGAAGUCCACCGAUUCUUUAAUACUUCUCCAAGAGGUGGAGCCUCAAGCUCCUUCCCUUGAGUGGGGGCUGUACUUAGUAACUGGCUGCUAAUGAACAGAAAGUGGAGGAAAUGACUGUGAAUUUUAAGGCUAGGUGAUUAAAGACAUGUGGUGUCUGCUUUGCUCUCCCCCGGACCCCUUGCUCUGAGAGAAGCAGCUGCCAUGUCAUGAGGACACUGAACCAGCCCUACGGCGCAGCCCACGUGAGGAAGAACGGAGGUCUUCGGUUAACAACCCAUGGUGAGCCAGGACUGUGAGUGAGACACCUCAGGAGCAAACGCUCCAGCCUCAGCCAAGCCUUCAGACGGCUGCCCCAGCCAACAUCUUCACACAGCCUCAUGCAGGCCCUUGAGCCAGAACCACCCAACUAAGCCACUGGCAGUUCCAGACCCGCAGAUGCUACAGGAGAUGCUCCUAACCUAAGGCAUGAUGACGCUAACACACUGACAAACAGCAAAAAAAGCCAUCCAGGUUACGAAGUUAUUAAACCCGAAUUUAGCCUAAAACUUCAUCCUGAAUGCUUCCUGGAGCCAAGUCACGCCUAGAACGAAACAACCUGAAGGCGCACCAACCAAAGAAUGGAUAAAUUGUGGUAUGUUCAUACAGUGGAAACAUACAGCAACAGAAAAGAAUCUCAGACAUAACGAGGUUGAUGCCUGUAAGUGACAUAGCCGAGACUUUGCAAGGUGUAACAGCAACCCCAGAACCCAGUGUUCAUGGUGACACCCUCCUAGGACCAGCCAUCCCUCCCGUACCUAACAAGACCCCGAGGACCAGAGGGGAAGUGGUGGAAACCAACACUGGAAGCUCUGACCCCAGGCCCAGCAUGCACCUCUCUCCUUUACCCCAGCAAAAGGCUGACACAUUCCCAAAUCUCUCUCCAGCACUGGCUUCACCCUUAAGAUGCACCCAGGAUGUCCCACGGCUAACUCAAAGGACACAUGAAAGUGCACCAAAUUCUAGGACAGUAGAGCGAGACCUCCAUUAAUCCACUCCUCCAUAAAAGUAAUGAAAAUACUGGCAAAACGGUCAAAACCAACUUUCUCAGGACGCAAAGUUAACCAAAGGCUUUCAACAAUCUGCGGAGCAUUUGUUCAAAAUGUAGUCACCUUUUACCAACCUCCGUGUCACUUUUCCUCCCAUAUACCAAAUCCUGUUUAAUGGACCGAUCCUUGAAGGAGAGAACCCUAAAAGGUGACUUGUCUUCUUCAUCUCCUCUAUCCCCACCUGAGGACUUCAAGGAUCUGGCUCUGACACGGGUCAUCCACCCCGGGUCACCAUCCUGGAGGAAGCCCUUCUGUGGCGUCUGGGCUGCCUGGGCUUCUCCUCCCUCCCCUUGCACCAGAAUCGUGUUGUUACCUGUGACUUACCCUCUGGCUCUCAAUGGCUCCCUGGAGACACAGGCCAAUCUGCAGAGCAGGCUUCUGUAAGCUUUCUCCCAGACCACUCUGCCCGGCUCCCAGGGACCCUUUCAGGCUCCAGCGAUGCCAAGAUGUACAGCAGUGUGAUUUGGCCAAAGUCACACCCCAGCCCUGCUAGGACUGAGUGCUAAGGGCAGCUAAGACUGCAUGGGCACGCCCUGUGGGCCAAGCUCCAUACAAGCAGGUGGCAUUUCUAUGAUCUCAUUUAAUGGCCUUAAGAAGUAGGUACCAUUACCUAAUUUUACAUGAGGAAACAGGCUUUUAACCACUUAUCAGCCUCGUAGGUGAGACUCAACCCAAUCCAGCUCAGGCUUGAGACACCACAGCCGUUGGGCAGAGCAGUGAGAAGAGUGACAGAGGUCUGCUGGAUGGGACCAGGAGAAGCUCCAGG